UCCCAGUUGUUUUGAACGCGGCAUAUUUUCGAUCAACAACAACAAAAAACUGUUGCAAACUGAUGGUAAUUUGUAUUAAGAUACAACUAGUUCAGAAAGUAAAAAUGAAUUACUCAAAUUGUAAAUGAUAACAAUUUAUUUGAGGUCCCCCUUGAGAUGAAUAAGUGUUUUUAACUUUGUCACACGAGUUGGCUUAGCCUACUGGAGGGAUGUUGCCGCGAGUUGUUUUGUCUGACAACUUUUUCAUUGUCAGCACAAAAUAGACUACGAGAGCCUACGACAUCUAGAGCGAAAAUAGCAACACAUUGGCGACCCCAACAGCUGUAGCCUACUACGCUACAGGGACAUUUAACUUGCAAGGCCAGGUCAGCAUCAGCCAGAGGGCGCUCAGUUUCAGAGGAUUUGCUUUUGGAGAGAGAAUCACGCAGUAUGUGAUUUGAGAGGAAUCCGAGAAACAGAGGUCGUUUAUAAUCGCAAUGGAAUCAAAUUAUGAUGUUUGAGUCACUUGCACUUGACUGGCUGAGUGCACAGCUAGGCUACUUAAUCGCGGUCUAACAGAGAAAGCGGGCUGCUGAUGGUUAAAGUUUGAGCCCAAUCAAAUCAUAGUCCAGACGAGGAGACAAAAAAGAGAAGAUCGUUGAAGAGGAUAAAAGCGUCUGGAAACCCUGUAUUGUAUUGUAUUUUCUUUGAACAGAUUCUGUUCACUUAAUUCAUUUUUGGUGAACAGUUCCCUGGUGUUUUUGUUGCAGUUGGGAGGAGGCACAUCGGAGAAAAAACUUGAUUUAUUUUGUUUCCAUGUUCAUGUGUGAUGUCAUAAAGAUGGGACGCAGUGGAGCGGGAAGCAAAGCUGGUGCCGGCGGCUGACAGGCCCCUCCAGCGGCCAAUCAGGAUGCAUGUCUCCUCGAUGGGUGUCAGCAAGCUAUGCUUCCUGUUCUCCCUGGCCCUCUGUGCCCUCCUCCUGCUCCUCAUCCCCGCCCUCCAGCCCUCACAGCAUCAGGGGGACCUGCCCCAGCCCCGGGCCCACACCAAGCCUGCCCGGGCGGGCACAGGCGCCGGCAAACCCUCCCAGCACCCUGGAGGUCUGGUGGUCCCUCUCCAGGCAGAUGUGGGGAAAGUGACAGUGACAGUGGGGCGUAAUGCGAUUGAUGGUGGCUCUAUGGGGCAGGGCACAACCAGAGAGACCAAGAGGACUGGGGAUGGGGACUGGGUGUAUACAGCUGGUCGAGGUGACACCCAGGGCACUGGGAAGCAUACAGACUCUCAGACAGGGCCAAAGGAGGACUUCCUCCAUAGAGCUGGGGGUGUGGCGGGGGCUGGAGGGUCUCGGUCCAGGACCCCUCUGGAGCUGAAAGACAUUUUCAUAGCGGUGAAGACCACCAAGAAGUACCACAAGUCCAGACUGGAUCUGCUGUUCCAGACCUGGGUGUCCAAAGCCAAAGAACAGACCUUUAUAUUCACUGAUGGGGAGGAUAAGGAGCUGAGGAGGAGAGCAGGGGCUAACGUCGUCAACACCAACUGUUCAGCAGCACACACACGGCAGGCCCUGUGCUGUAAAAUGUCUGUGGAAUACGACAAGUUCAUCGAGUCGCAGAGGAAGUGGUUCUGCCAUAUGGAUGAUGAUAACUAUGUGAUUGUACCCAGUCUGCUGAAGCUGCUGUCCUCCUACCACCACACCCAGGAUGUUUACCUGGGCCGGCCCAGCCUCGACCACCCCAUAGAGGCUGCAGAGAGGGUCAAGAGUGACGGAUCUGUGUCAGUGAAGUUCUGGUUUGCUACAGGAGGAGCAGGGUUCUGUAUCAGUCGUGGUCUGGCCCUCAAGAUGAGUCCAUGGGCUAGUCUGGGGAACUUCAUCAGCACAGCGGAGAAGAUCCGUCUCCCUGACGACUGCACCAUCGGUUACAUAAUUGAGGCGCUGCUGGAGGUGAUGCUGACCCACACACACCUCUUCCACUCCCACCUGGAGAACCUGCAGAGGCUGCCCACAGACACCGUGCUGGAGCAGGUCACUCUGAGCUACGGUGGUUUUGAGAACAGGAGGAAUGUGGUCAGCAUUGGAGGAGCCUUUUCUCUGGUGGAGGACCCCUCACGGUUUAAGACUGUCCACUGCCUCCUCUACCCAGAGACCGACUGGUGUCCUAGUAAGGGUCACCAUUGAUGGCCACUAAAGUAUAUCAACAAUACUUCCUACCAGCCUGGUUGUCUGGUGUCCCUGUGUAUGCUAGCUAUAUCAUUGCCAUGGCAAAAUGACAAUUUGGCCAAAGCAAAACCAGACUGGCACCCUGGCUAACCCUACAGAACCACUUCACUCAGAUAAAAUGGUUAGAUGUCUGUGGGUCUUUGAGAGGAGACAAGACGAGGUAACUGGAGUAAGGAUCACUUUGGUCAUGGUGGGAAGAUGAAGAAAUGCCCCACUACUCUUUCUUAUCACUACUGUACCCUCCACUCGACUCAUUGCAGGAAGUUGUCAUCACUGGCUGUUGCCGUGGCGAUGUGUAUCACCACUCCUUGCUUUAAAUCCCAAUCUCUUUUACUAUUGUAGUCCAGGGUUUUUUGAAGGAGUGUUAAGGUACUUAAAUUACUGUUGAAAAGGUACCUUAAGAUGCUGAACAGGGUGAAAUGUUAAUUUAUUUGCUUUUAGGUCCAAAGAUUUACUGGACUGAUGUUUUUUAUACAAGGGCUCAUGACCAAAAGUAGUCAGAGAUGAAUAUCAGAUAUUAGUGUUACAGGAAGAGAGAGAAAGUUUAAGUAAUGAGUGAGAGCCGUUUGUGCUUGUGUAACGGAGUUAAGAACGUACCGUAAGCUCACUCCACAACUAGCUUGAAAUGUCGCAGAUGGAGCUAUCCAAUUGGAUCCUUUUGUAUAGCUCAAUCGGUUGGUACAUUGUCAAGGAGGGCGGUCACGUGUGUUUGCGAGCAGAGGAUCACUAGUUGAAGCCCGGUAUGGGGACCGUGACAGUGGAGGAAGCUAUACUGUUAGCUACACGUUGGUUUCACUUCAGAGACAACCCUUGUUGUGCCCCUCAUGUCCUGAAGUUAAUUUCUUACCAGAAGAGGUUUUAAACUGGUGUGUGUACAUGUGUGCAGGUUUGUGUGCAACCUAAUGGUUUAACCACUCAAUCAGAAUGCUUUUAACAUCUUAUAGCCAAAGAUAAUGCCAGUGCCUUAUGUUUCAAUCAACUAGACUUUGGAAAUGCUUAAGAGCACAUAAUGAAAAAUGAAUUGAAGAAAUGAAAGUGAUCAUAUGUGUGAUAGUAGGAAUAAACAUGAGUGUGCACCACACAUAUACACACAGCCCUGCAGUAACCAAAACAGACUCCUCUGAAGGUGACACACUAUCUUAAAGAUCAUUCAUUAGAACCCUUUUUUUUGCGUUUCCCCCAAUACAUGUUUUUUCUCUGUCAAAAAGACUACACAUUUUGCACUCAUCUCAAUUCCUGUGUAUAAUAUUUUGGUGUUAUUAAAAGUUACAGAGUUGUUGACGUGUUAUAAUGUGUGAGCUUGAGCUGGAAGUACUUCGUGUCUUUUUCUGAUGUCUCACAUUCUCCUUUUUGCACAAAAACACUACAAUCCAAAUACAGAAUCUGUCUGUCUUUCCCCACUGCAGGUCAGUUGCUGAGAGAGAGAGAGAGAGAGAGAGAGAGCGAGAGAGAGAGAGAGAGAGAGAGAGAGAGAGAGAGAGGUCUGAUUAAGACUCUAGUCAGGAUGUGAUUUUUCCUCUUGUCUUCUCCUGUCCUCUGUUUUACCAUUGAUGUAUUAUUUUGUUUUCUGUUGAAUAAAGCAUGUUUUGCAGCAUUACCAAACAACA